UGUUGUAGUUUUAGGUGUAAAAAUAGAUAUUUGAAAUGAAAUUAGAAUCAAAAUUGCAAUCAAAAUGGAAUCAAAACUAGAACCAAAACCAGAACCAAAACCCAAGUUUGGUUCCAACUAUGGUUCCUAAAAGUCAGAGAACUGAAGGUUUGGUUCUGGUUCCAAUUCUUAGCUAGAACCGUACCAAAACCAGAACUGAACACCCUUAGUUACAAUGUGAUGCAUGGGAGUUGGGGGGAGGCAGGAGGAAAGGAAGUCAUAUAAGAAAGAAGUUGUCAACUGAACAAGGCAUGAAUCAAGUAGCUUGUUUUUCUUUGACAGAGUGUUGG
rnacentral:misc_RNA from 1 species